rfam:Ovis aries breed Texel chromosome 4, whole genome shotgun sequence.
UCCCUGGUGGCUCAGAUGGUAAAGCGUCUGCCUGCAAUGCGGGAGACCUGGGUUCGAUCCCUGGGUCGGGAA